rnacentral:rRNA from 1 species
GUCCACGCUGUAAACGAUGGGUACUAGGUUUGGUGGGUCUUGACCCCCGCCGAACCGGCGCUAACGCAAUAAGUACCCGCCUGGGAAGUACGGUCGCAAGACUAAAACUCAAAGGAAUUGACGGGGGCCCGCACAAGCGGUGGAUCAUGUGGUUUAAUUCGAAGCAACGCGAAGAACCUUACCUGGAUUUGACAUCCUCUGACAACCCUAGAGAUAGGGCUUCUGUAGCAAUACAGCAGAGUGACAGGUGCUGCAUGGCUGUCGU